GUGCCAGCAGCAGCGGUAAUACGUAGGGUGCAAGCGUUGUCCGGAAUUAUUGGGCGUAAAGAGCUCGUAGGCGGUUUGUCACGUCUGCUGUGAAAUCCCGAGGCUCAACCUCGGGCCUGCAGUGGGUACGGGCAGACUAGAGUGUGGUAGGGGAGACUGGAAUUCCUGGUGUAGCGGUGGAAUGCGCAGAUAUCAGGAGGAACACC
rnacentral:rRNA from 1 species